UUAAGCGACUAAGCGUACACGGUGGAUGCCCUGGCAGUCAGAGGCGAUGAAGGACGUGCUAAUCUGCGAAAAGCGUCGGUAAGGUGAUAUGAACCGUUAUAACCGGCGAUGUCCGAAUGGGGAAACCCAGUGCAAUUCGUUGCACUAUCGUUAACUGAAUACAUAGGUUAACGAGGCGAACCGGGGGAACUGAAACAUCUAAGUACCCCGAGGAAAAGAAAUCAACCGAGAUUCCCCCAGUAGCGGCGAGCGAACGGGGAGCAGCCCAGAGUCUGAAUCAGCUUGUGUGUUAGUGGAACGGUCUGGAAAGUCCGACGGUACAGGGUGAUAGUCCCGUACACCAAAAUGCACAGGCUGUGAACUCGAAGAGUAGGGCGGGACACGUGGUAUCCUGUCUGAAUAUGGGGGGACCAUCCUCCAAGGCUAAAUACUCCUGACUGACCGAUAGUGAACCAGUACCGUGAGGGAAAGGCGAAAAGAACCCCGGCGAGGGGAGUGAAAAAGAACCUGAAACCGUGUACGUACAAGCAGUGGGAGCACCUUCGGGUGUGACUGCGUACCUUUUGUAUAAUGGGUCAGCGACUUAUAUUCUGUAGCAAGGUUAACCGUAUAGGGGAGCCGCAGGGAAACCGAGUCUUAACUGGGCGUUAAGUUGCAGGGUAUAGACCCGAAACCCGGUGAUCUAGCCAUGGGCAGGUUGAAGGUUGGGUAACACUAACUGGAGGACCGAACCGACUAAUGUUGAAAAAUUAGCGGAUGACUUGUGGCUGGGGGUGAAAGGCCAAUCAAACCGGGAGAUAGCUGGUUCUCCCCGAAAGCUAUUUAGGUAGCGCCUCGUGAAUUCAUCUUCGGGGGUAGAGCACUGUUUCGGCUAGGGGGUCAUCCCGACUUACCAACCCGAUGCAAACUACGAAUACCGAAGAAUGUUAUCACGGGAGACACACGGCGGGUGCUAACGUCCGUCGUGAAGAGGGAAACAACCCAGACCGCCAGCUAAGGUCCCAAAGUCAUGGUUAAGUGGGAAACGAUGUGGGAAGGCACAGACAGCCAGGAUGUUGGCUUAGAAGCAGCCAUCAUUUAAAGAAAGCGUAAUAGCUCACUGGUCGAGUCGGCCUGCGCGGAAGAUGUAACGGGGCUAAACCAUGCACCGAAGCUGCGGCAGCGACACUAUGUGUUGUUGGGUAGGGGAGCGUUCUGUAAGCCUGCGAAGGUGUGCUGUGAGGCAUGCUGGAGGUAUCAGAAGUGCGAAUGCUGACAUAAGUAACGAUAAAGCGGGUGAAAAGCCCGCUCGCCGGAAGACCAAGGGUUCCUGUCCAACGUUAAUCGGGGCAGGGUGAGUCGACCCCUAAGGCGAGGCCGAAAGGCGUAGUCGAUGGGAAACAGGUUAAUAUUCCUGUACUUGGUGUUACUGCGAAGGGGGGACGGAGAAGGCUAUGUUAGCCGGGCGACGGUUGUCCCGGUUUAAGCAUGUAGGCUGGUUGUCCAGGCAAAUCCGGAUAAUCAAGGCUGAGGUGUGAUGACGAGGCACUACGGUGCUGAAGUAACAAAUGCCCUGCUUCCAGGAAAAGCCUCUAAGCAUCAGGUAACAUCAAAUCGUACCCCAAACCGACACAGGUGGUCAGGUAGAGAAUACCAAGGCGCUUGAGAGAACUCGGGUGAAGGAACUAGGCAAAAUGGUGCCGUAACUUCGGGAGAAGGCACGCUGGUGUGUAGGUGAAGCCCCUGCGGGUGGAGCUGAGACCAGUCGAAGAUACCAGCUGGCUGCAACUGUUUAUUAAAAACACAGCACUGUGCAAACACGAAAGUGGACGUAUACGGUGUGACGCCUGCCCGGUGCCGGAAGGUUAAUUGAUGGGGUUAUCCGUAAGGAGAAGCUCUUGAUCGAAGCCCCGGUAAACGGCGGCCGUAACUAUAACGGUCCUAAGGUAGCGAAAUUCCUUGUCGGGUAAGUUCCGACCUGCACGAAUGGCGUAAUGAUGGCCAGGCUGUCUCCACCCGAGACUCAGUGAAAUUGAACUCGCUGUGAAGAUGCAGUGUACCCGCGGCAAGACGGAAAGACCCCGUGAACCUUUACUAUAGCUUGACACUGAACAUUGAGCCUUGAUGUGUAGGAUAGGUGGGAGGCUUUGAAGCGUGGACGCCAGUCUGCGUGGAGCCAACCUUGAAAUACCACCCUUUAAUGUUUGAUGUUCUAACGUUGGCCCCUUACCGGGGUUGCGGACAGUGUCUGGUGGGUAGUUUGACUGGGGCGGUCUCCUCCCAAAGCGUAACGGAGGAGCACGAAGGUUAGCUAAUCCUGGUCGGACAUCAGGAGGUUAGUGCAAUGGCAUAAGCUAGCUUGACUGCGAGCGUGACGGCGCGAGCAGGUGCGAAAGCAGGUCAUAGUGAUCCGGUGGUUCUGAAUGGAAGGGCCAUCGCUCAACGGAUAAAAGGUACUCCGGGGAUAACAGGCUGAUACCGCCCAAGAGUUCAUAUCGACGGCGGUGUUUGGCACCUCGAUGUCGGCUCAUCACAUCCUGGGGCUGAAGUAGGUCCCAAGGGUAUGGCUGUUCGCCAUUUAAAGUGGUACGCGAGCUGGGUUUAGAACGUCGUGAGACAGUUCGGUCCCUAUCUGCCGUGGGCGCUGGAGAAUUGAGGGGGGCUGCUCCUAGUACGAGAGGACCGGAGUGGACGCAUCACUGGUGUUCGGGUUGUCAUGCCAAUGGCACUGCCCGGUAGCUAAAUGCGGAAGAGAUAAGUGCUGAAAGCAUCUAAGCACGAAACUUGCCCCGAGAUGAGUUCUCCCUGAGACUUUAAGUCUCCUGAAGGAACGUUAAAGACGAUGACGUUGAUAGGCCGGGUGUGUAAGCGCAGCGAUGCGUUGAGCUAACCGGUACUAAUGAACCGUGAGGCUUAACCUU
rnacentral:rRNA from 1 species